CAGCUUCUAUAAAUAGUGGACCAUAUUGCAGAGAUUAUAGAUAUAGCAAUCAAAAACAAGCUUUUAAACAAUUUCAGUUUCUAAGUUCAUUUUUCUUGCAAACUUAACUCAAUCACCAUGUCAGACAAGUGUGGCAACUGUGACUGCGCUGACAAGAGCCAGUGCGUGAAGAAGGGAAGCAGCUAUGGCCUUGUCAUCGUGGAGACUGACAAGAGCUACAGCAACACUGUUGUGAUGGAUGCUCCUGCUGCUGAGCACGAUGGCAAGUGCAAGUGCGGUGCUAUCUGCAGCUGCACAAACUGCACCUGUGGUCAUUAAGCCCAUACAAUACCAAGAACAUAUACUAUAUGUAUAUGGAAUAUAUGCUGUGUGUAACUUUCACUAAUAAUGUAAUUUGUGCUGAAUAAAUUGUGUCUUCUAUCACGGUACUUUGUGCUUGUUAUUUGUUAUGGAGAUAUAUGUGUGUCUCUCAGUCUCAGUCACGUUUGUGUUUCCUUCAUGGUACUUGUUGUAUCUUGUAAUGGCCAUCUCUGCGGCCCUUUGUGGUUAAUUUAAUAGACUUCUCUAUUAUGUA